rnacentral:lncRNA from 1 species
GCUACUUUGAUUAGUGUUGGUGACACAAAAGGAAAUUUAAUAAUUGUUCUUAACUUUUAUUGUUCACAAACUAUGAGGAAAUAAAAGAGAAGAAGGGAAGUUGAAAGAAGGAAAAGCAGCAUAAGGGAAUAAAAGGAAAGAAAAACACAAAAAUUUAUUGACAACUUACUACAUUCCAAGUUCUAUAUGCUGUACAUUCACACACUUUAUUUAACUUAAUUUGAUUUAUUUAAUUCCCACUAUCUUACUAUAAAUUGCCUUAUAUAUUUUUAAUUUUAGACUGGUGGAAGCAGUCUCAGAGAGAUUAUAAAAUGAGACCUUCGUUGUUCAGCUGGAUCAGCUAAUGAGGCCUCAUAGAAUAAAUUGAAGAACGUCACAUAUCUUUUUCAUUUGUGGCAAAGGUUCAUGGGGAAAUGAUAUUUUCUCCCUUAAAAACAUUUGUAACAGAGAUAUAGACCAAUGGAACAGAACAGAGCCCUCAAAAAUAAUGGCACAUAUCUACAACUACCUGAUCUUUGACAAACCUGACAAAAACAAGAAAUGGGGAAAGGAUUCCCUAUUUAAUAAAUGGUGCUUGGAAAACUGGCUAGCCAUUUGUAGAAAGCUGAAACUGGAUCCCUU